CUCUUUCAGGAUUCAGAACUGGAGAAACAAGAAAAGACCGUGUGUGAAAGCAGCAGCCGACACGGAGAGAGGCAGUAUUCAGACUUCAUGAGUAAGCAGAAGCUGUGAAUAAGCAAGAGCUCUGAGGGAACAAAAGCCACGAGGCAGCACAAAGAGACACAAAGUAACGACGGAAGUGAUAGAAGACAACUAAGAGAGCAUCAGAUUCUCAGGAGAAAGAGUCAGGGGCCAACCCUGGAGCCAGAGGGUCAGAGAGGUAGCAUCCCGGAGGCUCACAGAGGGAUCAGUGGAACAGUGUGGAUGCCCAGCUCCAAAGCCAUGCCUCUCUGAUUCAUGCUCAUUCCAUUCCACCAUGCCGUGCUCCAGAAGAGAAAGAAAAGCUUCUCUGCUCAGCUUCCAGUGCUCUUUCCACUGCACAAUGCUGCCUUCUCUAGAACUUGUUGCCUCGUUGGGAAAU